GCCAGUGUGGCUCAGUGGUUGAGCAUCUACCUGUGAACCAGGAAGUUAGGGUUCAAUUCCCGAUCAGGGCA
rnacentral:tRNA from 1 species